AGAGUUUGAUCCUGGCUCAGCCUGAACGCUGGCGGCGUGGCUAAGACAUGCAAGUCGAACGAUAUAGUGGCGAACGGGUGAGUAAUGCAUCGCUAACGUACCCCGAGCUCAGGGAUAGCUGCCCGAAAGGGUAGGUAACACCUGAUGUCAUGCAGAGGGGGCAUCCUCUUUGUCUGAAAGGUUACGGCUCGGGAUCGGGCGAUGUGGUAUCAGCUAGUUGGUGAGGUAACGGCUCACCAAGGCUUCGACGCCUAGCCGGACUGAGAGGUUGGCCGGCCACAUCGGGACUGAGACACUGCCCGGACUCCUACGGGGGGCUGCAGUAACGGAUCUUCCGCAAUGCACGAAAGUGUGACGGAGCGACGCCGCGUGAAGGACGAAGUCCUUAGGGAUGUAAACUUCUGUCAGGGGAAAGAAAGUCUGAUCUACCCCAAAGGAAGGAGCGACUAACUCUGUGCCAGCAGUCGCGGUAAUACAGAGGCUCCAAGCGUUAGGCGGAAUCACUGGGCUUAAAGCGUGUGUAGGCGGCUUCUCAAGUGCCUUGUGAAAUCCCACGGCUCAACCGUGGAACUGCUGGGCAUACUGUGGAGCUUGGGUUGUCUAGGGGCAAGCGGAACGAAUGGUGGAGCGGUGAAAUGCGUAGAUAUCAUUCGGAACACCAACGGCGUAAGCAGCUUGCUGGGGACACACCGAC
rnacentral:rRNA from 1 species